UGCCUCUUUCAUGGUUUGAGCGUCAGGGUGU
rnacentral:piRNA from 1 species